UGGAAACGAUGGCUAAUACCGCAUGAUGCCUACGGGCCAAAGAGGGGGACCUUCGGGCCUCUCGCGUCAGGAUAUGCCUAGGUGGGAUUAGCUAGUUGGUGAGGUAAGGGCUCACCAAGGCGACGAUCCCUAGCUGGUCUGAGAGGAUGAUCAGCCACACUGGAACUGAGACACGGUCCAGACUCCUACGGGAGGCAGCAG
rnacentral:rRNA from 1 species